GAGUUGUGUGAGCCGCCAGUAUGGCCGGGCUAUGGCGGCGAGCACUGGCUACGUGCGACUGUGGGGAGCGGCGCGGUGCUGGGCGCUGCGCCGGCCGAUGCUGGCCGCCGCCGGGGGGCGGGUCCCCACUGCAGCCGGAGCGUGGUUGCUCCGAGGCCAGCGGACCUGCGACGCCUCUCCUCCUUGGGCACUGUGGGGCCGAGGCCCGGCAAUUGGGGGCCAAUGGCGGGGGUUUUGGGAAGCGAGCAGCCGCGGCGGAGGCGCAUUCUCGGGGGGCGAGGACGCCUCCGAGGGCGGCGCGGAGGAAGGAGCCGGGGGCGCGGGGGGCAACGCGGGCGGCGGGGAAGGCCCGGUCAUAACGGCGCUCACGCCCAUGACGAUCCCCGAUGUGUUCCCGCACCUGCCGCUCAUCGCCAUCACCCGCAACCCGGUGUUCCCGCGCUUUAUCAAGAUCAUCGAGGUUUCUGGGCCCAGGAUGGUGUUCAUCAGGCCUGGUCCCCUCAGUUCUGCAGAGUGACAGAUGUCCCUUGCUCCCGGUGCCUGAGCAGAGAGAUGAUUCUUCUAAGAGUUCAGACUGCCCACGUGGAGCUAGCCAGGAGGGUUAAAUGAGUGGCUGCGGAUAGUAUUUGGGAGACUGGCAGGUGGUUCUCAUUGUAUUUCUGGUUGAUGAUGCGUUGUAAGUCAUGAAAGUGGAUCCUGCCAAGGCCAGGAGGCAGAUGC
rnacentral:sRNA from 1 species